GGAAUUCCCGGUGUAGCGGUGGAAUGCGUAGAUAUCGGGAGGAACACCAGUGGCGAAGGCGGCCUACUGGGCACCAACUGACGCUGAGGCUCGAAAGUGUGGGUAGCAAACAGGAUUAGAUACCCUGGUAGUCCACACCGUAAACGAUGAUUACUAGGUGUUGGAGGAUUGACCCCUUCAGUGCCGCAGUUAACACAAUAAGUAAUCCACCUGGGGAGUACGACCGCAAGGUUGAAACUCAAAGGAAUUGACGGGGGCCCGCACAAGCAGUGGAGUAUGUGGUUUAAUUCGACGCAACGCGAAGAACCUUACCAAGUCUUGACAUCCUGCGACGAUGCUGGAAACAGUAUUUUCCUUCGGGACGCAGAGACAGGUGGUGCAUGGUUGUCGUCAGCUCGUGUCGUGAGAUGUUGGGUUAAGUCCCGCAACGAGCGCAACCCUUACUGUCAGUUACUACGCAAGAGGACUCUGGCAGGACUGCCGUUGACAAAACGGAGGAAGGUGGGGAUGACGUCAAAUCAUCAUGCCCUUUAUGACUUGGGCUACACACGUACUACAAUGGCGUUAAACAAAGAGAAGCAAGACCGCGAGGUGGAGCAAAACUCAGAAACAACGUCCCAGUUCGGACUGCAGGCUGCAACUCGCCUGCACGAAGUCGGAAUUGCUAGUAAUCGUGGAUCAGCAUGCCACGGUGAAUACGUUCCCGGGCCUUGUACACACCGCCCGUCACACCAUGAGAGCCGGGGGGACCCGAAGUCGGUAGUCUAACCGCAAGGAGGACGCCGCCGAAGGUAAAACUGGUGAUUGGGGU
rnacentral:rRNA from 1 species